UACGGAGGGGACUAGCGUUGUUCGGAAUUACUGGGCGUAAAGCGCACGUAGGCGGAUUUGUAAGUCAGGGGUGAAAUCCCGGGGCUCAACCUCGGAACUGCCUUUGAUACUGCAAAUCUCGAGUCCGGAAGAGGUGAGUGGAAUUCCUAGUGUAGAGGUGAAAUUCGUAGAUAUUAGGAAGAACACCAGUGGCGAAGGCGGCUCUCUGGGACGUGACUGACGCUGAGACGCGAAAGCGUGGGGAGCAAACAGG
rnacentral:rRNA from 1 species